GAGGCAGAUGGAGGGGCGUCCCGGGGGGAGGGCCCAGGGAAGUCGAAUCUGGGCAAGAGGGGUGGGGGACGGAAAGGACGAGGAGGGGUCGUGGAGGGAGCAGAGAGGGAUGGAGGGGUAGAUAGAGACUGGGGGAGGGGGACCCAGAGCUUCCAGCUCGGGCGCCAGGGUUUGGGGCAGGGGUCUGCUGAGCUCGGCUGGAGCCCGCGCCUGUCUGGAGGGCUCUUUUUGAUAGCAGGAAGCACAGCACACCUAUUUUGGGGAACCCCAAGAAAUGGACCUGGGCCGGGCGUCUACACUUCCGACCAGUUUCCCCAUCCCGCCUCCGCCCUGCCCGCCUCUCCAUCCUUCUUCCUCCGGUUCUCCGCCUCUCAGCGCCCCCUUUACUCCCAAUCCUCUGCGUUCUCGCCUCCACUUCGUGUCCCCGGGUCCCUUCCCUCCUUCCUUCUCUCUCUGCCUCUCCCUAACGCCCCAGGCCUCCCUCGCCUCCUUCCCCUCGACCCAUUCCUCCCCCCCCAACUCCAACUCUCCCCCCUCCCCCUUCGCUUACCCGCUUGCUCCAAGCUUCGCUCCCCGGGGAUCCCGAGGGUCUCACUCCCUUGCUGGGCGCCCGCGCGCGCUCCCGGCAGCUCCCCCUUGCCCACCCUGGGGCGCGCCCCCGCCUCUCCGAACUUCUCCCAACUCAACUUUCCCCCGCGCCGCAAGCAGGCCGGCCCCUUGCGUGCGCGCCCCCCUCCGUGCCGUGCGCGGCUCCGCCGGGGGUGUGUAUGUGUAAGGGGGGGAGGCAUUACAGCCCGGGAGGAGAAGAUGUGCAUAAGGGGGGGAGGGAGCGCGCUUCCAGGCACUGCCCGGCACUGGCCGCUUCGGGCGGAGCUGCAGGAACUCCCCCCUCAUCCUCGCCGGCCUACCCACGGGGGGAUGAUACAGGCCACCCCACGGGACUUCCCUGGAGUUAGGAUGUCAUACACCAACGAGACGCUGACUCCUGACCUGGUCACUUCAGUUUUGAGGCGUGUGCAGGGAGACGGCUUUAUCCUAACGAGAGUUUCAGGCGGAGAAACUGAGGCACAGGAAAGGCAGGGUGGGCGUGCGUCUUAUCUCCCCAAAGAACUGCAAACUUCUGAAGGAAAGACCAACUGUGCCUCCUACGUCUCUGUAUCCCCGGGGCAGCAGAACACACUGAAAAAAUUUGCAGAUGUUUUGUUGAGCUGAUACCUGGAGAGAAGGUCUUCAAAGAGGAGCAAGGACAGGCGAAUGACCUGAAGCCAGCACGGAGCAGGAAAUAAGAACGUUGGGAGCUGCACGGAAACUUAGAGGUCAUCAAGUCUGACAGCUUUGUGUGU
rnacentral:lncRNA from 1 species